rnacentral:rRNA from 1 species
GAUGAACGCUGGCGGCGUGCUUAACGCAUGCAAGUCGAACGAGAAGUGGAGACGGACACCUUCGGGCGGAAGACUUUAUUUCGAGUGGCGGACGGGUGAGUAACGCGUGGGUAACCUGCCUCAUACAGGGGGAUAACAGUUGGAAACGACUGUUAAUACCGCAUAAGACCACAGCACCGCAUGGUGCGGGGGUAAAAACUCCGGUGGUAUGAGAUGGACCCGCGUUCGAUUAGCCAGUUGGCGGGGUAACGGCCCACCAAAGCGACGAUCGAUAGCCGAUCUGAGAGGAUGACCGGCCACAUUGGGACUGAGACACGGCCCAAACUCCUACGGGAGGCAGCAGUGGGGAAUAUUGCACAAUGGGGGAAACCCUGAUGCAGCGACGCCGCGUGAGUGAAGAAGUAUUUCGGUAUGUAAAGCUCUAUCAGCAGGGAAGAAAAUGACGGUACCUGAGUAAGAAGCCCCGGCUAACUACGU